GCACAAGGGGAGCUGGAUGCAGUCCGGCUGAGAGGUGGCGCGUAUACGCCACGACCCGAAGAACCUGAUCCGGGUAAUGCCGGCGUAGGGAGUCGCA
rnacentral:ncRNA from 1 species